AUACUCUGUUCUAUAAAAAAUAUUCUCCCUUAUGGAAAAUAAUGCAGGUUGUCCUCUCAAUAAACUGUUAAAUGCCCCACUAAUUAGCUAUCAUCCACAACCUGAAAGAUACUGCUUUGGAGACCUGACUUAAAACCUUUCUGCUUCUGUGUGGUCAGGCCAUUCAAGAUGGCUGUUCUCUUGCUCUCUGUACAUCCCUUUUCCACCAGUGCCUCCUUUACCUGCACCUCACUGACCUUCCUACAUACUGGCUUGACCAACAUGCUUGUUCGGGUUUUUCCCUAACAUCUUAUGGAAAAAUCCAAACAAACAUUUUGGCCAACCCAAUACUUGCUGUAGGCAGGCCCCAGCUGGUGACUGUGCUCUUCAAAAAGGCAGUGAGGGGCGUGACCCUGUGCUGGUUUCCUUGGUAACUAACGAGCCCACCUGACGUCAAUUCCCCUAUACUAACCUUCUGGUCGGGGGUAGUGCAGAGUGGGAGUGAAAACUGCUGCCUGGAAGUGCCCACUGUCUGCUACACACAGUGAGGUGUUGCUCCAGGACCAUGCUUCAGACAGGCAGAGGCUCUCCCCAGAGUGGCUCAGCUGCACGCAAUAUGCAUGGGCUCUGCACUGAGAUCAGUGAGCUGAAUGAUGGCAGACCAGCACAUGUGGCUGAAUGAGUCCCUGUGGAUUACGGCCAGGGAGGAACCGUGAGCACUCUUCGUUCAAGCAGUCAACAGCAGCCCUCGCCCUGGGAUCACUCCACACUCCCGAAACUCCAGAUCCCAGCCGCUGCCCCUUCCAGGGGACCAGCGUUCCUGUCCAGGCUAAAGCUUUUCUAUAUUUUGAGACUGAAAGGCCACUACUUUUACAAAGUUUUCCAGGAUCUCCACUACCAUAAGUCAUCUUUCUCUGGCUUAAACUCCCAGAAUCACAUUAUCCAAACUCAUAUAAUGGAUACUUUAUGAAUCCUAUCAGUAACUGAGGAAAGAGAAAGAAAUUGACAAACUUCUAAGUAGGACUGUUGUUUCUGAUUCCCUGACUGAACUCUUGAGACCUUGGAUCUGCCUGGAUUGACUUGCCCUGUCAGAUGUUUUCCCUAAUGAAACUCCCUCUCCAGACUCCUGCUCACCCUGGCCGCAGGCUCCCGGGUUGUGAGCAUUCCAGAGACUGUUGGAAAGAUGUGUGUGUCUCACAAGCAGCCAUCAUCAGGACGCAAACUACUGAACUGAAAUAGUGAACUCGUCAACAAUGAUUAAAGUUAUAGUAUUUUUAGAAAGGGGAAAGCUCUGUGUUGGUACUUCAUGCAAGUGAUUUGAAAUAUUUAUUUCAACAAACCUAAGUUUGAUAUUAGACCACCUUUACUCUAUAAAUUGAGGCUGUAUAAAUUGCCCAAGCUCAUAUAGCAAUCCCAUGGACAGAGGAGCCUGCUAGGCUACAAUCCAUGGGGUAGCAAAGAGUCAGACAUGACUCUUUGACUUAGCAUGCACACACUCAUAUAGCUGGUAAAAGUUGAGCUGAGAUUUGACUCAAUUGGACCUCAAACUGACUCUAAAAUCUCACUCUUUCCAGGGCCUCUGUUUUCUUUCUGGUGGACAAGAUAAGUUGCUUUCUAGACAUUGUAAUUUUUCUCUCUCUUAGAAGGUUCCUUUUAUAUUUGACUUUAUAUUGUUUAAGUAUGAACUUGAAGGACCUUCCUAACUGUUACCUAUCUCUACUUCCCAGAGAUAUAUCAUCACAGAAAUAAUUUAAAAUAUUCAGAUGCAUGAAAAUUUGGUGUUACUUUCAAAUAUCUAAUUGUCUAUAGGCAAAUAGGUCUGGAUAUUCUAGGGGCACCUGAAUUCAAGAAGUCAAAACCUGAAGAUUAUCUUUCACACUGAUAGUUCUGUUGUAUUUUUCUCGGUUUCUGUGAAUGUCCUAAGCCUCCACCCAAACUGCUAAUCUCUGAACCCGGGUUUUAUCCCAGAUGUCCUUUCUUUAGCUUUCUCUUACCUGUUUCCCCUUCGCAUUCCUUCAACUAGUGCUUCAAGUCCUUAACCUUUUCUUACCCUCAUUAUUCAAUACUGAUUGCCAGUCUUUCUGCAUGCAGCCUAGUACCUCCUGGAUCCAAAUUCUCCACUACCACUAGAGAGAGAGAGCUUUUGAAAAAUAAGUAAUGUGAUGUUUUAUUCCCCUUCAAAACUCCAGACUUUUUAGGGCGUCAGAGAAGGCCAUCCAUGGUUUUAUCUUGUUUACUAUUUCCAGAUUUCCACUGUGUCAUGUUCUUCUGGCAUUUCAUCCCAAAGGCAGAUACAUCUACUUGAAAUUUUCCAGUUUUGUUUUUGUCAUACAGAUCAUUCUGGUACAUCGUUCCAUUCUCCCCAUUCAUUUACAUAGUAGAAGGUACCUAUUUAUCUUUUGAUAUUCAGCUCAACAACGAAUGGCUUUCCAAAGCCAUUCUAACAUGUUCCUGUAGAUAGAUAGAUUAUCUCCAGCUAAGCAUUCUCUUCUCUGUUUCCUCUCUGUAUUCAGAUGUCUGCUGU